rnacentral:rRNA from 1 species
AACUUUCAACAACGGAUCUCUUGGUUCUGGCAUCGAUGAAGAACGCAGCGAAAUGCGAUAAGUAAUGUGAAUUGCAGAAUUCAGUGAAUCAUCGAAUCUUUGAACGCACAUUGCGCCCCUUGGUAUUCCGGGGGGCAUGCCUGUUCGAGCGUCAUUUCAACCCUCAAGCU